ACCUCACCGAGGCCAGGAAUCUCGGUGACACAUACCUUCCAUCAAUGACGGCCCCUUGCGCCUAACUACAUGACAUAUAGUAUAUGAUCUAUAUUACUACAGCAAGAUCUGCUCACCACUCCUCUUCUAUACUAAGGUGUAGAAGAUUAUCUGCAUUACUACAGCAAGGACUGAUCACCACUCGCCCUCUAUACUAAGGCGUAGCAGAGUAUCUAUAUUACUACAGCCAGGUCUGCUCACCACUCCUCCUCUAUACUAAGGCGUAGCAGAGUAUCUGUAUUACUACAGCCAGGUCUGCUCACCACUCCUCCUCUAUACUAAGGCGUAGCAGAGUAUCUAUAUUACUACAGCCAGGUCUGCUCACCACUCCUCCUCUAUACUAAGGCGUAGCAGAGUAUCUAUAUUACUACAGCCAGGUCUGCUCACCACUCCUCCUCUAUACUAAGGCGUAGCAGAGUAUCUGUAUUACUACAGCCAGGUCUGCUCACCACUCCUCCUCUAUACUAAGGCGUAGCAGAGUAUCUGUAUUACUACAGCCAGGUCUGCUCACCACUCCUCCUCUAUACUAAGGCGUAGCAGAGUAUCUAUAUUACUACAGCCAGGUCUGCUCACCACUCCUCCUCUAUACUAAGGCGUAGCAGAGUAUCUGUAUUACUACAGCCAGGUCUGCUCACCACUCCUCCUCUAUACUAAGGCGUAGCAGAGUAUCUAUAUUACUACAGCCAGGUCUGCUCACCACUCCUCCUCUAUACUAAGGCGUAGCAGAGUAUCUGUAUUACUACAGCCAGGUCUGCUCACCACUCCUCCUCUAUACUAAAGUGAUAGGAAAUUAUCUGUAUUAUUACAGCAAGGUCUGAUCCCUACUCCCUAAUAUACUGAAGUGUAGGAGGUUGUCUGUAUUACUACAGCCAGGUCUGCUCACCACUCCUCCUCUAUACUAAGGCGUAGCAGAGUAUCUGUAUUACUACAGCCAGGUCUGCUCACCACUCCUCCUCUAUACUAAGGCGUAGCAGAGUAUCUAUAUUACUACAGCCAGGUCUGCUCACCACUCCUCCUCUAUACUAAGGCGUAGCAGAGUAUCUGUAUUACUACAGCCAGGUCUGCUCACCACUCCUCCUCUAUACUAAGGCGUAGCAGAGUAUCUAUAUUACUACAGCCAGGUCUGCUCACCACUCCUCCUCUAUACUAAGGCGUAGCAGAGUAUCUAUAUUACUACAGCCAGGUCUGCUCACCACUCCUCCUCUAUACUAAGGCGUAGCAGAGUAUCUGUAUUACUACAGCCAGGUCUGCUCACCACUCCUCCUCUAUACUAAGGUGUAGCAGAGUAUCGGUAUUACUACAGCCAGGUCUGCUCAGCACUCCUCCUCUAUACUAAGGUGUAGCAGAGUAUCGGUAUUACUACAGCCAGGUCUGCUCACCAUUCUUCCUCUAUACUAAAGUAAUAGGAAAUUAUCUGUAUUAUUACAGCAAGGUCUGAUCCCCACUCCUCUAUACUAAGGUAUAGAUUAUCUAUAUUACUACAGCCAGGUCUGCUCACCACUCCUCUAUACUAAGGCGUAGCAGAGUAUCUGUAUUACUACAGCCAGGUCUGCUCACCACUCCUCCUCUAUACUAAGGCGUAGCAGAGUAUCUAUAUUACUACAGCCAGGUCUGCUCACCACUCCUCCUCUAUACUAAGGCGUAGCAGAGUAUCUGUAUUACUACAGCCAGGUCUGCUCACCACUCCUCCUCUAUACUAAGGCGUAGCAGAGUAUCUAUAUUACUACAGCCAGGUCUGCUCACCACUCCUCCUCUAUACUAAGGCGUAGCAGAGUAUCUAUAUUACUACAGCCAGGUCUGCUCACCACUCCUCCUCUAUACUAAGGCGUAGCAGAGUAUCUGUAUUACUACAGCCAGGUCUGCUCACCACUCCUCCUCUAUACUAAGGUGUAGCAGAGUAUCGGUAUUACUACAGCCAGGUCUGCUCACCACUCCUCCUCUAUACUAAGGUGUAGCAGAGUAUCGGUAUUACUACAGCCAGGUCUGCUCAGCACUCCUCCUCUAUACUAAGGUGUAGCAGAGUAUCGGUAUUACUACAGCCAGGUCUGCUCACCACUCCUCCUCUAUACUAAGGUGUAGCAGAGUAUCUAUAUUACUACAGCCAGGUCUGCUCAGCACUCCUCCUCUAUACUAAGGUGUAGCAGAGUAUCGGUAUUACUACAGCCAGGUCUGCUCACCACUCCUCCUCUAUACUAAGGCGUAGCAGAGUAUCUAUAUUACUACAGCCAGGUCUGCUCACCACUCCUCCUCUAUACUAAGGCGUAGCAGAGUAUCGGUAUUACUACAGCCAGGUCUGCUCACCACUCCUCCUCUAUACUAAGGCGUAGCAGAGUAUCUGUAUUACUACAGCCAGGUCUGCUCACCACUCCUCCUCUAUACUAAGGUGUAGCAGAGUAUCGGUAUUACUACAGCCAGGUCUGCUCAGCACUCCUCCUCUAUACUAAGGCGUAGCAGAGUAUCUGUAUUACUACAGCCAGGUCUGCUCACCACUCCUCCUCUAUACUAAGGUGUAGCAGAGUAUCGGUAUUACUACAGCCAGGUCUGCUCAGCACUCCUCCUCUAUACUAAGGUGUAGCAGAGUAUCGGUAUUACUACAGCCAGGUCUGCUCACCACUCCUCCUCUAUACUAAGGUGUAGCAGAGUAUCUGUAUUACUACAGCCAGGUCUGCUCACCACUCCUCCUCUAUACUAAGGUGUAGCAGAGUAUCGGUAUUACUACAGCCAGGUCUGCUCACCACUCCUCCUCUAUACUAAGGCGUAGCAGAGUAUCUGUAUUACUACAGCCAGGUCUGCUCACCACUCCUCCUCUAUACUAAGGUGUAGCAGAGUAUCGGUAUUACUACAGCCAGGUCUGCUCAGCACUCCUCCUCUAUACUAAGGUGUAGCAGAGUAUCGGUAUUACUACAGCCAGGUCUGCUCACCACUCCUCCUCUAUACUAAGGCGUAGCAGAGUAUCUGUAUUACUACAGCCAGGUCUGCUCACCACUCCUCCUCUAUACUAAGGUGUAGCAGAGUAUCGGUAUUACUACAGCCAGGUCUGCUCAGCACUCCUCCUCUAUACUAAGGUGUAGCAGAGUAUCGGUAUUACUACAGCCAGGUCUGCUCACCACUCCUCCUCUAUACUAAGGCGUAGCAGAGUAUCUGUAUUACUACAGCCAGGUCUGCUCAGCACUCCU